rnacentral:lncRNA from 1 species
AGGACAGUGACACAAUAGCUCUAACAUAAGCAAGCUGUCAAGAGGGAGUCAAUAGCUGCCUAUUCUGCGGCGCUUAUUCCCACAGCAGACUCAAUAGCUGCGGUUACGGAUGCUAUUGCUAAGAGGGCAUUCGAGUCGAGUCAACUAUACGAUAGUGAAGUUCCUCGUUGGAAAGACUCUUACUAUACAUGGGGAUGCAGAUAUGUCAGAAGGACCGGAUUCGAAUAUCCCCAUUCUGCAAAUCAAACAUGGUAAAAAAGAUAUGAUGAUUAGUGGGUUUAAUUACGAGUAAGGAGUAUUUUACCUUUUAUUUCGAUCCCUAGAGUAAGAUUCGUGUCAUGGAAAUCAUGAGAGGAAUGAGUUUCUUGGCAUGCGCUCAGGGCGAAGACAUCAAGGUCUCUUUUAAUUUCCCCACACUUUUUUCCCAUGAGCAUGGUUUUGGGCUAGGUUACCAACCUCAAGAGGAGGAUUCCUUUUUAUUUUGAGAAAUGGUUUCAUUCGCGCUAAAGCAGCAGCAUACUUUCAAGGCUGAAGGAAGAUCUUUCGACCCCAGGAAGCCAUACAGACCCAAUCUUCCAUGGCUACUUCCUCAAAUAAGGUGAUGAUUUAGCCUUCUCAUUCAAAAAUGGACUUGGUUGCGCUCUAUCUGGUAUAUCUUUUCUUAUCCGAUGAGGGUUUUUAAGUGGUCUCCUUACUUUAGAGCUAACGUAGAAUCAUCAAUAGUUCCAGUCUGGAUUUCUCUACAAGUUGAUCGCUGAGGAAAAAUAUCAUAGCCCCCUUGAGUCAAUAAGAAUAGCAGAAUUCCGCUUUAAAAAACCUUACCUUAAAUGUGUCGAAAUUGAAGUUAUCUCAUUAGCGGUAAUGAUACUGUUAAUGAAAUAUGCAUACAAUAGCGGAUUUCGUUCUAUUAAAUUCACUAUCCAUUAUGGUCUGAUACAUACAAAUAACGAACGAGCCGACUUUACA